AGGGUUCGAUUCUGGCUCAGAACGAACGCUGGCGGCAGGCCUAACACAUGCAAGUCGAGCGCGCCCUUCGGGGUGAGCGGCGGACGGGUUAGUAACGCGUGGGAACGUACCCUUUGGUAGGGAAUAGCCACUGGAAACGGUGAGUAAUACCCUAUGAGCCCUUCGGGGGAAAGAUUUAUCGCCAAAAGGAUCGGCCCGCGUUAGAUUAGGUAGUUGGUGGGGUAAUGGCCUACCAAGCCUACGAUCUAUAGCUGGUUUUAGAGGAUGAUCAGCAACACUGGGACUGAGACACGGCCCAGACUCCUACGGGAGGCAGCAGUGGGGAAUCUUGGACAAUGGGGGCAACCCUGAUCCCAGCCAUGCCGCGUGAGUGAAGAAGGCCUUAGGGUCGUAAAGCUCUUUCGCCUGUGAAGAUAAUGACGGUAGCAGGUAAAGAAACCCCGGCUAACUCCGUGCCAGCAGCGGC
rnacentral:rRNA from 1 species